GACGAACGCUGGCGGCGUGCUUAACACAUGCAAGUCGAGCGGGAAACUUCGGUUUCCAGCGGCGGACGGGUGAGUAACACGUGGGCAACCUGCCUCACAAUGAGGGAUAGCCUUCCGAAAGGAAGAUUAAUACCUCAUAAUACAAGAGAAACGCAUGUUUCUCUUGCCAAAGAAUUUCGUUGUGAGAUGGGCCCGCGGCGCAUUAGCUUGUUGGGGAGGUAACGGCUCACCAAGGCUGCGACGCGUAGCCGACCUGAGAGGGUGAUCGGCAACAUUGGAACUGAGACACGGUCCAGACUCCGACGGGUGGCAGCAGUGGGGAAUAUUGCACAAUGGAGGAAACUCUGAUGCAGCACCGCCGCGUGAGUGAUGAAGGUCUUCGGAUUGUAAAGCUCUGUCUUCUGGGACGAUAAUGACGGUACCAGAGGAGGAAGCCACGGCUAACUACGUGCCAGCAGCCGCCGUAA
rnacentral:rRNA from 1 species